rnacentral:rRNA from 1 species
UGCGUAGGCGGACUAAUAAGUCAGUGGUGAAAUCUUUCGGCUCGACCGAGAAACUGCCAUUGAUACUGUUAGUCUUGAGUUCGGUUGAGGUAGGCGGAAUGUGUAAUGUAGCGGUGAAAUGCUUAGAUAUUACACAGAACACCAAUUGCGUAGGUAGCUUACUAGACCGACACUGACGCUGAGGCACGAAAGCGUGGGGAGCGAACAGGAUUAGAUACCCUGGUAGUCC